rnacentral:rRNA from 1 species
GACGAACGCUGGCGGCGUGCUUAACACAUGCAAGUCGAACGGUAAGGCCCUUCGGGGUACACGAGUGGCGAACGGGUGAGUAACACGUGGGUGAUCUGCCCUGCACUUCGGGAUAAGCCUGGGAAACUGGGUCUAAUACCGGAUAGGACUCCUGGCUUCAUGGUGGGGGGUGGAAAGCUUUUGCGGUGUGGGAUGGGACCGCGGCCUAUCAGCUUGUUGGUGGGGUAAUGGCCUACCAAGGCGACGACGGGUAGCCGGCCUGAGAGGGUGACCGGUCACACUGGGACUGAGAUACGGCCCAGACUCCUACGGGAGGCAGCAGUGGGGAAUAUUGCACAAUGGGCGCAAGCCUGAUGCAGCGACGCCGCGUGAGGGAUGACGGCCUUCGGGUUGUAAACCUCUUUCAGCUAUGACGAAGCGCAAGUGACGGUAGUAGCAGAAGAAGGACCGGCCAACUACGUGCCAGCAGCCGCCGUAAAAC